AUACCUACCUGGCAGGGGAGAUAACCAUGAUCACGAAGGUAAUCUCCCCAGGGUGAGGCUUAUCCAUUGCACUAUGGUUGUGCCAACCCCUGUGACUCCCUCAAAAGUGGGAAACUUGACUGCAUAAUUUGUGGUAGUGGGGGAUUGCGCUUAUGCUUUUCCCUU
ensembl:snRNA U1 U1 spliceosomal RNA